rnacentral:rRNA from 1 species
UACGUAGGGUGCAAACGUUGUUCGGAAUUACUGGGCGUAAAGCGUGUGUAGGCGGCCACGUAAGUCGGAUGUGAAAGCCCCGGGCUCAACUCGGGAAGUGCACUCGAUACUGCGUGGCUUGAGUACUGGAGAGGUUGGUGGAAUUCUCGGUGUAGAGGUGAAAUUCGUAGAUAUCGAGAGGAACACCGGUGGCGAAGGCGGCCAACUGGACAGAUACUGACGCUGAGACACGAAAGCGUGGGGAGCAAACAGG